rnacentral:rRNA from 1 species
AACGCGAAGAACCUUACCCGGGCUUGAACUACUCGUGGUAGGCCGAUAGAAACAUUGGCCGACCCGCAAGGGAGCGAGCAGAGGUGCUGCAUGGUUGUCGUCAGCUCGUGUCGUGAGAUGUUGGGUUAAGUCCCGCAACGAGCGCAACCCCUAUCUCAUGUUGCUAAUCCCGCAAGGGAUGCACUCUUGAGAAACUGCCUUCGAUAAGAAGGAGGAAGGUGGGGACGACGUCAAAUCCUCAUGGCCCUUAUGUCCGGGGCUACACACGUGCUACAAUGGCCGGUACAACGGGAAGCAAUACCGCAAGGUGGAGCCAAACCCUGAAAGCCGGCCCCAGUUCAGAUUGUGGGCUGCAACCCGCCCACAUGAAGGCGGAAUCGCUAGUAAUCGCGAAUCAGCAGGUCGCGGUGAAUACGUUCCCGGGCCUUGUACACACCGUAGAGAC